rnacentral:rRNA from 1 species
UGGGGAAUUGUUCGCAAUGGGCGCAAGCCUGACGACGCAACGCCGCGUGGAGGAUGAAGACCUUCGGGUCGUAAACUCCUUUCGACCGAGAAGAAUGGCCUACGACCUCAUACGUCGUAGGCAUGACGGUAUCGAGGGAAGAAGCCCCGGCUAACUCUGUG